rnacentral:rRNA from 1 species
UACAGAGGUCUCGAGCGUUGUUCGGAUUCAUUGGGCGUAAAGGGUGCGUAGGCGGCGGGGCAAGUCUGAUGUGAAAUCCCGGGGCUCAACCCCGGAACUGCAUUGGAUACUGCCUUGCUAGAGUACUGGAGAGGAGACUGGAAUUUACGGUGUAGCAGUGAAAUGCGUAGAGAUCGUAAGGAAGACCAAUGGCGAAGGCAAGUCUCUAGACAGUUACUGACGCUGAGGCACGAAGGCCAGGGGAGCAAACGGG